GCGUGCCUAAUACAUGCAAGUCGAGCGGACCGACGGGAGCUUGCUCCCUUAGGUCAGCGGCGGACGGGUGAGUAACACGUGGGUAACCUGCCUGUAAGACUGGGAUAACUCCGGGAAACCGGGGCUAAUACCGGAUGCUUGAUUGAACCGCAUGGUUCCAAUCAUAAAAGGUGGCUUUUAGCUACCACUUACAGAUGGACCCGCGGCGCAUUAGCUAGUUGGUGAGGUAACGGCUCACCAAGGCGACGAUGCGUAGCCGACCUGAGAGGGUGAUCGGCCACACUGGGACUGAGACACGGCCCAGACUCCUACGGGAGGCAGCAGUAGGGAAUCUUCCGCAAUGGACGAAAGUCUGACGGAGCAACGCCGCGUGAGUGAUGAAGGUUUUCGGAUCGUAAAACUCUGUUGUUAGGGAAGAACAAGUACCGUUCGAAUAGGGCGGCACCUUGACGGUACCUAACCAGAAAGCCACGGCUAACUACGUGCCAGCAGCCGCGGUAAUACGUAGGUGGCAAGCGUUGUCCGGAAUUAUUGGGCGUAAAGCGCGCGCAGGCGGUUUCUUAAGUCUGAUGUGAAAGCCCCCGGCUCAACCGGGGAGGGUCAUUGGAAACUGGGGAACUUGAGUGCAGAAGAGGAGAGUGGAAUUCCACGUGUAGCGGUGAAAUGCGUAGAGAUGUGGAGGAACACCAGUGGCGAAGGCGACUCUCUGGUCUGUAACUGACGCUG
rnacentral:rRNA from 1 species